UGAACCUACCUCGUGGUCUUCUUCCAGUCGUGAUUGGGUGCUCCUAGUUGAUACUAAGAUCUGAUAACCAAAUUCACGCCCGCAUUUCUCGAAGCAAUUCGAUCUGACACAUUGGCUGCGAGUUUAGUCCUUCUGCCAUGUGGAUUGCCCUGUGCAGUAUAUUCAGUUUCCCGUUUGAGUUUGUGGAAUGUAUCUGCAACUCUUCAAAUCGAAUGUUCUCUAAUUUACAUGGGCUAAUUCUUCUUUGAAAUCGCUAUUUUAACUCUUGUACGCGCUCUAGUGUCCAGGCUAAACUAAACGCAGCAGAAUUUCCCUUUACAAGACCAUGUUACAAGCUAUCCGGUGCUCAACUUUGUUCCUUUCCUCAAAUGCUGAAACAGAGUGGUAUAAAUAUUUGCAAACUCAAAUAGCCCCUAGUCCACCCACAGGCAUUCUGCACACAAACACAAUAGUAUCAUUACAUCAAGAAGACCCAAUCAAACCUACGGCGCAUUUCACUGUCCAGAGGCUUCAGAACCAGAGGCUUCUGCCAUAUACAGGAUUUCAUUGGGCGGAAGUGAUGCAUGAUCCAACACCACGAGCUCUAGUUCAUCUGUUGAUCGGAGUGUAGGUCUGAUCCAGUGGCAACAACCAGUGGAGGAGGCCUGAACAAGCCCACGUAUUUCUGAAAAUCCAGUCAUAUUUGCUAACUUCCACAUCUUCAACUGCAGCUGCAUUGCCAGGAAGUUUUACUCAUUGUUGGAGAGGGUAGGAUGCGGUUGAAGAGUGAAGCCGGUAAUAGCAGAGCAUGGAGAGGCAAGUUAAAUUUCUGCUGGCAUUAGCACCUGCAAAGUUGUGAUGAGGAACGAAGGAACCUUGCGGGAGAAAGUUUCAGAACAUCCACGCUUUUCUCUGCAAAUUGACAGCUGAGGGUGAGCAACAGGCGGAGCUGGACGCACCAUGGAGUUUCAACAUGGGAAGAUGGAAUGGAACACUGCUUCUAAAAGCAGGAUUGAAACAACCCGCUUCGCUGUAUGUUGGUUUCUAUGGAGAGAGCAAGUGAAAUCGUCGAAGAGCUGAUAAAACAGAGACAUAGACUGCAUAACUCAUCGACGUUGCGACAACAUUCUCUGCGCUUGUACAGGUGGGAUGGCACAACUGUUGGUCUGGUCAGCUAAGACAGCAGUCAGACUGAGUCGUGAUGGGAGUCGAAGGCGAAGGUCAGAACUUUCUGUCAGAUGGAACAAUGAAUGACAGAAUGAAUAAUCGUGAUGGGAGUAUGAUACACAUUGUUUUCGCUAUUGUAUUUCUGAGUGCCAGCUAGAGAUGGCAUCGGACCAAUGUACAGUAUUUGUGAUGUACAUGCUUGUUUUCAUGGUGCACUCAGAAUCGCUGUAUGUGUGCCAAUAAGAUAGCUAAUAAUUGCUUGGCUUGUUUGCAUAUCUAAUAAAUGCUACAUGU